AUUGAACGCUGGCGGCAGGCCUAACACAUGCAAGUCGAGCGGAUGAAGGGAGCUUGCUCCUGGAUUCAGCGGCGGACGGGUGAGUAAUGCCUAGGAAUCUGCCUGGUAGUGGGGGAUAACGUCCGGAAACGGGCGCUAAUACCGCAUACGUCCUGAGGGAGAAAGUGGGGGAUCUUCGGACCUCACGCUAUCAGAUGAGCCUAGGUCUGAUUAGCUAGUUGGUGGGGUAAAGGCCUACCAAGGCGACGAUCCGUAACUGGUCUGAGAGGAUGAUCAGUCACACUGGAACUGAGACACGGUCCAGACUCCUACGGGAGGCAGCAGUGGGGAAUAUUGGACGAUGGGCGAAAGCCUGAUCCAGCCAUGCCGCGUGUGUGAAGAAGGUCUUCGGAUUGUAAAGCACUUUAAGUUGGGAGGAAGGGCAGUAAGUUAAUACCUUGCUGUUUUGACGUUACCAACAGAAUAAGCACCGGCUAACUUCGUG
rnacentral:rRNA from 1 species